AUGAAUCGAGGCUCCAGCAUCAAACUCUCUUUUCCCCAGUGGAGCCUGGUGGGAUUUACCGGAGCAGCCUGGCUCCCUCUGCGACCCUCCCUCCAGAACAGCGGCCCUGUGACUCCGGGAGGGCGCAGCUCACCAGAGAACAACACGAUGCUGAGACCCGGGUACUGUUUGUCACCGCAGCACACAGACUGGAGCGGCCCAAGAAACAGCAAAAAGACAAAAAAAAAGAAGAGGAAGAAAGUGGAGCCUCGGACCUUUGAAGGAGAGGCUCCCUCCCACCGCACAGCAAGAAGGCACUGUCUGCGAGCCUGGAAAAGGGCCCUCAGCAGAGGGCGGCCCUGCCGGCACCCUGAACGUGGACUUCCAGGCUCCAGAGCUGGGAGGAGCGACCACAGUGGUUUCAGCCGCCCCGUCGGUGGUGUUCAGCUCCAGCAGCCCAGGCUCAGACGCCACAUCACGGCAUUAGGGUGAUUCCUCUUCUCCCGAGUGUCCGGUGUCUCGUUGAAGGAGAACCGCAACCUCGAACCUUUCACCUCUUUGCCCUUCGGUGGGUGCUCUUCAUGAGCAGCCACUUCAGCAAACACACACAGGCAGACCCCCGGCGGGCGGACCUGCGCGCGUCCCCAGUCACGGUGGCACUGCCAACCUAGGUGGCGGCAGAGAGCGCCCCCAGCCCGCCGAGCG
rnacentral:lncRNA from 1 species